CUGACACCUGCAGUGAAAAUACCUGACUGAAGCACAGAUAAAAGCAGGAAUGAAUUAGUAUUCCUGGCUGUAUGCAAAGUAACCUGCUGUUCAAGGCUUCCAGGUCAUCAGAUCUCUGCCAGCAAAAGCAGAGCUGCCUCAGGUGGACAAAUGUAAGAUGGCCAUCUUCAUGCUUUCAGAAGGGAAAGAUCUACUGCUGUAGACAGAUGAGGCUGCUUGCACGCUAUAAAAGAGAGCCAGAGCCACAGAGCCUACCAGGAGUGAUAAUUUUCAGGCUGUGUGGCUGCUUUCCAAAAACCACUGUGUGAAGAUCUCACGUUCAUGAGGGCGUGCAGCUUGGAAGAAUGGACCUGUUCACACAUGAAUAUCCCUAGGAACAAAGUCAGAACUUAUGGAUUCUUGCUGUUGCUGCGAGCUUUGCCCACAUGCUGCUCUGGCAGAUUUACAGUGCAUUAACAAGCAUAAGUGGUGAUAGGGGAGCUGGCUUGGCUGCACUGUGUGCUUUUUCAAUGAAGAUAUGCAUUCAACAGCCAAGUGGCUUUAUGUUAAAGAGCAGUUAGGUACCUGGUGGAGUUUUAUGGAUCUGAAUCGAUUUUGCUUUUGAACUUUGCUUUUUGACCCUUUGUUUUUGCACGCCGAUAUUCCUCUUCCUCAUGGAGAAUAUGAGCGAGAAAAGUACUGGGGAAUCCCACUCAACUGGUCUAAGGCUCUUGUUUUGCACUCCCAGUGCUGUUUAAGCCUUUUCUUGUUUAUGCUCUUUUUCCCCUCUUACAUUUACACACAGCCUUGUGUUCCCCAGCACAUGGACUAGCAAGAGGCUUGUGCCUUUAAUACACAACAGCUGUUAGCUGUAAAACGAGUAGAAAACUUAAGCAUUCAGUAAAUACUGUCGAGGGAGUGUACUUGCACUGCAGAUAAUAUCUCAGUGCCAAGCUCAAGUAAAUCUAGCGUGGGUGACUUUGGAUUUGAUGAGUAUCAGCAGCAUUGCUGGAGAGCUCUGGAGAAAGCAUGGUUUAUCCUGGAAUGAUUUAUCCCAUGGUGCAAACAAAGCUGCUGUUGCACCAGAUGCAUUCAGAGCAAGUAAACAACCUUAAAACCCAGUCCCCAGGCCUGCUUUUCUGUCCCAACACUCAGUGGUUUGAUUGCCUAGGGUGUAAUUACUCAUUGUUUGCUACAUACUCAAGUAACAGUAGCAUCUACUCCUUUCUUCUUGAAACACAGCUUCCAGGUGAAUGUUGUCACACACAACACCAGUGCUAACAGCGUUUUACUGAGUACUGAAAAGCAACAGAGCUGCUGCUGCAGGUCAUUAUAUCAAGGUCAUUACCUGAAUUGUGAACUGAGACAUGGCUAUUAAGGUCUCAAUACCUGCAACUUGCCCUUUCCAAUUGCAAACCCAGCUCUGUGAGAUGCUGUUGGAAAUAUCCAAGUAAUUUUUGUCUUAACUUUCAUUGGGCUGCAUUUUUGGCUCUGCCAAGCAUCCCUGAUGCCUGCAAUCCUGUGUAUACCCCAUUUAGGAUUUACAUAACUUCUAGGAGUACAACAUUGCUUUUCCCAGUUUGUGGGAAGCCAGACUUAAAAUUCUCAGUCCAUUGGUCUUGCUUGACAAGUAGCUCCAAUUUUCUCUACUGAAUUUAAUCUCUACAUUCAACUAUUGUAACAUAUCAUGCCCAAAUAAUGGUUUUGGAGAACCUGGCAUGUACAAGAAUUUAUAUAUUCCUACUUGUUCUCCUAGCCUGUAUUUAAUUGGCCCAAAAAAAAGUAAA